AGAUCACGUGACUCGCCUGAGGCCUCCCGCGCCAUUUUGGUUGAGGGCGAAUGCCGGCUGAGGGGUUUCCAGCCAAGCCAGACGUUCCGGGCAUGACCAGUAAGAACCCGAGGCCAGAGCUUUGGUUGACUGGAGAGAAACAGAGAAAGAAGGAAAGUGAGAAAGCAAGCUGCCACGUCCUAGACUUGAACUGCGGUCAGCCAUGAAGGAGUCCAUCUGCCUUGACCACCUUGCCACCUGCCGGCCCCAAAAACCAUUGGUUCCUCGUAACUUCCCUCAAUAUACUCAUAGUUUACUGAUUUUCAUUCCUGAAUAAAUAUUAUCAUUUUCCUUUUA